rnacentral:tRNA from 1 species
GGAAGGGUGCCGGAGUGGACCAACGGGACGGCCUGGAGAGCCGUGCCCCUUUUUUGGGGCUCGUGGGUUCGAAUCCCACCCCUUCCG